rnacentral:rRNA from 1 species
UACGUAGGCAGCGAGCGUUGUUCGGAUUUACUGGGCGUAAAGGGUGUGUAGGCGGUUGUUUAAGUUUGGUGUGAAAUCUCCCGGCUCAACUGGGAGGGUGCGCCGAAUACUGAAUGACUUCGAGUGCGGGAGAGGUGAGUGGAAUUCCUGGUGUAGCGGUGAAAUGCGUAGAUAUCAGGAGGAACACCGGUGGUGUAGACGGCUCACUGGACCGUAACUGACGCUGAGACACGAAAGCGUGGGUAGCAAGCAGG